UAGGGAAUCUUCCGCAAUGGACGCAAGUCUGACGGAGCAACGCCCCGUGAGUGAAGAAGGAUUUCGGUUCGUAAAACUCUGUUGUUAGAGAAGAACAGCGCAUAGAGUAACUGUUAUGCGUGUGACGGUAUCUAACCAGAAAGCCACGGCUAACUACGUGCCAGCAGCCGCGGUAAUACGUAGGUGGCAAGCGUUGUCCGGAUUUAUUGGGCGUAAAGCGAGCGCAGGCGGUCAAUUAAGUCUGAUGUGAAAGCCCCCGGCUCAACCGGGGAGGGUCAUUGGAAACUGGUUGACUUGAGUGCAGAAGAGGAGAGUGGAAUUCCAUGUGUAGCGGUGAAAUGCGUAGAUAUAUGGAGGAACACCAGUGGCGAAGGCGACUCUCUGGUCUGUAACUGACGCUGAGGCUCGAAAGCGUGGGUAGCAAACAGG
rnacentral:rRNA from 1 species